GUGCUUCAACGCGAUUAUAUAUAAGCAUCGUUUUCUCGAUAUUUGCUUUCAAACGUUGUUUAAAAGCCAUCGACGAAAGACGUGCCGAAAUAAGAAAGCAUAUCGUAAUUAUAUUAAUCAACAAGAGAAGAGAUCAGAAGGUCUCUGUAAUCUACAAUUAUGCAAUUUUUAUCAAUACUGUAUACGAUUACGAUAUUGGCAUGGAGUACCGCAGAAUUUCUUAACGAUUCUCCCGCACACUUAGAAACCCAUAUUAGAUCGGACAAUGUUAAAGGAGGAACACGAUCAUUAAUAAGAUAUUUCAACGAUGAAGCUAAUUUCAAAAGACCUUAUAUAGAUCGUCGAACUGGAUUCGAUGGAAAAGUUCGAAAUAUCAAUAUCGGAUCGAACGAGGAUAUAUCAGGUAUUAGAGCUUAUGGUUUGCCGAAGAAGGAUUUAGAAGAUAAUGGUUUGAUCGAGAGAAUUAAUGUUGCCGAUUCCGAAAGAGGCGACGAACGUUCACGAAAUUCUCGAAUUGUGGAAGCAUACGGUAUGUCUAAAAAGCAAUUGGAUGACAAUGGUAAAAUCGAAAUAAUGCCACCUUUGGCCAUAUUAAAGAACGAUGAACAUAAUGUGGAUUCAUUGAGAAGAGUUUCAAGAUCGAUUUCUGAGGAACGUAAGGACGAAUUGAAAGAUCUCGAGACCCAAGAUGCGAAAGUGUUCAGACCAUUAUUUGUCUAUAGACAACAAGUAGCGAGAAGGCAAAAGUCGAACGAACGAAAGUUCUAUGGUACACUACCACCGCACAGAUAUAGGUCGUGGGAAUAUCGAUAUCCUGUCUACUGAUUUGAUUAUAUCGAACAAAAAAUGAAUUCUUUAUGAACAUGACAAAUGCAUGCAUACAUUUUGAUCGAAGAAGUCGAACGAAUUGCGAACAAAUUCUACCAAAUAUUAGAUACCUGAACUAGUUUUAUAAGAUAGAUCCGAAAAAUAUUCAGAGCGGCAUGCCAUAUUCAUUAGACAAAUGAAUCUAUUCGGCGUACGAUGAAAAAUAUGUUACGAUUAAACAAAUUUUCGUGAUAUUUCCGGUAAGACGAUUUGCGUCUUAAAAUUUCUAUGCUGAUUAAGAUUAAGACGAUGACGACGACGAUACGAUUUGUUCUCGUUAAUUUAAAUUUUUAUAAGAACUCUGUGAAAAUUAAUCGCAAAGAAUAUUUAGAUUUUCGAAAUAACCUAUGCGUCCUAAAAUCGUCGCCAUGCCGAUAAAAAUCAAUCGUUUUUCUGAUUGUGAUAAAAAUGUGGAUAAAAAUUUUGAUUCUUUCGUUCUGGAAAGCUAUAGGGAAAAAAAGGAGAAGAGGUACAUACAUCAAAAUUUUCAUAAAUUAUUCUACAGAUUCCUAAUAAUCGUUCGAUUAAAGCUCGAAGAUCGUUUCGAAAUUGAGAAAAUUGAUCGAAAGCGCGAUCCUACGUAGUUUAGAUGGAUUCUUAAUGAUUGCGAUAUUACCUUACGUUUGUUAUCAAUGGGCUUCUAAAAACGAACGAUCAUUGAUCAUUCUGAAAGCGAUCAUCGAAGUAAACAUAUUAUCAUAUUUUUUUUUGUAUUUAAAUUUUUGCGAUAGACAGAAAAUAAAGCUGAAUAUUUAUUUUUCAGAUUACAUUAGAAUUAAUAAUGUGGUUUAUAUUUGCUGGUGUAUCCAUUUUUAUAACAGCGGCAUUUUUAAUGGAAGAACUUUAUUUCAGCCGAAAUGACAGCAAGAAUUUAAAACCGUCGAACGAAAAUUCUAAAAAGACGGAAUAAAUCGAAUAUUAUACUACAUAGUUUAAUUCGUAUCUCAAUAAUGUUCUACUUUUAUGAUAUCUAUGAUAUUAAUAGUCGCGAGAGUAAUAGGUGAAUCAGCUUGAAAAUAUAUUAAAUAUUUUGAUCAAAAAUAUUUUGAUCGGGGAUGAAAAUUUAAAUGAAAUUUCGACCUGAAUAUAUCAAUUAUUUAGAAAUCAAAAAUUUAGAAAAUUUUGAGAAAUAGAAAAAAAUGUGUAUAUGAAUCAAUCUUCGAUAGGAGUGUAUCCAAUCAAAGAAGAAUCGUUUUGAUAUCAGUGUUACAAUUCUUUUCGUUUAAAUUAUAUUUUCUUUUCUUUUAGCAUUGUAAUUGUUUCUCACGGCACGUAGUUCCUCUAAAAAUAAUUCAUACUAAAUAAUUCAUUUUGAUAGUAUUGUCUCGCGAAGACGUAUGUGAAACAUAUAUGUGGAACUUUGAAGAUUUCUAUUAACCUUUCCUAUGCUAAUACUUCUACGAAUUAAAGCAAGGAAACUCGACGAUCGUAUAUAUGAACAAAGUUCAUUCAUUCAAAUGUAAAAGAUUUUAAAAUAUUUUCUUUACGUUUGAAACAUCGAUUCAGUAAAAAAAUUCAUUAUUGCAAACACUAUUUAAAUUCUUUUGUUAUUCCUUAAAAAAAAAAAAGAUAAAUAAAUAAAAAAAAUCAAAUGUAUUAACCAUUAUUUUUAAAUGACCUUGACAAAACCAACUUAAAUUAUGUAUUUCUGACGUAGAUAUAGAGUUUUUUCAUAUUCAUUGUCAGUCGUUCACUGACCAUUCUUGAGGAAUCACGAAAAGCAGACAAGAAAAUUAAGUAUCUCUCCUUGUAUUUGAAUUAUAGUACAUGUCUGCGAAUAUUUAACAUUUAUUU